rnacentral:Y_RNA from 1 species
GGGUAGUUCAAGUUCAGUGGUGUUUAACUGAUCACAGCCACAUACAGUUUUCUUUCUCUAUUCCCACUGCUUGACUUGACUAGCCAAAA